GACCAAGGAGUCUAACAUGUGCGCGAGUCAUUGGGACUCUGAAUAAUCCUAAAGGCGCAAUGAAAGUGAAGAAGGAAAGUGCGGUCGGCCAAGCGUCGACCGUGAAGGGGGAGGAUGGGCCGCGUCUCGACGCGGCUCCGCACUCCCGGGGCGUCUCGUUCUCAUCGCGAGAGGAGGCGCACCCAGAGCGUACACGUUGGGACCCGAAAGAUGGUGAACUAUGCCUGGUCAGGACGAAGUCAGGGGAAACCCUGAUGGAGGUCCGCAGCGAUUCUGACGUGCAAAUCGAUCGUCGGAACUGGGUAUAGGGGCGAAAGACUAAUCGAACCAUCUAGUAGCUGGUUCCCUCCGAAGUUUCCCUCAGGAUAGCUGGCACUCGAGGGAGGGAGUCUCAUCUGGUAAAGCGAAUGAUUAGAGGCCUUGGGGCCGAAACGACCUCAACCUAUUCUCAAACUUUAAAUGGGUGAGAUCUCUGGCUUGCUUGAACGGUGAAGCCACGAGAUAUACAUAUAUUAUAACGAAACACGGAUCAGAGUGCCAAGUGGGCCAAUUUU
rnacentral:rRNA from 1 species